AUUUGAAUAGUUUAUAUAAAAUAUGAAAUUGUGAUUUUCAUGAUGCAUUUAUGCUUUAGAUA
rnacentral:tRNA from 1 species